UAUUGCAAGAGUGGGUUUGUUAUAAAAUCUAGUUUGGCCUCCUCUUGCUUUCUUGCUCUUGCCCUCUCUUGUUGUCGUCUUUUCACCAUGGGAUGACACAGCAUAAAAACCUUCACCAGAUAAUGGCACAAUGCUCUUGGACUGCCCAGCCUCCCGAACUGGAGGAUCACAUUUCUCCAAUCUCUUGAAGUUAGCUGUAGCCAGGUGACCUGCUUUGGCCAAUAUCUAAAACCAAAAAUGACUUUGUCACUUCAGAUCAAAGCAUUUCAGAGAUGGUGCACAACUCUACCCCACUCUCCCCUGCCACACCAUCUAAGGAAGCCACAUCUUCCAGAUGAUACUUCUACAAGAUGAUCGAUUCAUUACAUUUCAGCAUAAAGAACAGUUGCCCCAAAGAGUUUUCCAGAUCUGCAGAGAACAUCAACCCAAGAAAAAAAAAUUGUUGUACUGAGCCUCUAAAAUUUAGGGAUUAUUUGUUGCCUCAGCAUAAUCUAACCUAUCGUCAAUGAUAGCAUUGUCUAGAAGGUCCCUACAGAAGAAGCAAGAGUCCAGGAAGUACCGGCCUAAAAGGGAUUGCCCAUAACUUAAGAAUUUAAUGCAGCCUGGAGCAGCACCUACAGGAAGAGAUGCUUUGAUGUCAGCCUUGACCUGGGUUUCUAGCUAAGCUCCUCCAUUCCCAAGGAAGCCACUUUCCUCAUCUGUCAACUCAGGUUAGAACACUGAAAUGCCAAAGGUGAGAAUAGCAUGACCCCCAUAAGAAUGGAGCCAUCACAAAUCACCCACAACACUGCAAAGGAAAUGUUCCAAAAGCAAGCUCUGAUGUUAGUAUGAGCAAAUUACAUAAUGAG